rnacentral:rRNA from 1 species
CCUACGGGAGGCAGCAGUGAGGAAUAUUGGUCAAUGGGCGUAAGCCUGAACCAGCCAAGUCGCGUGAGGGAUGAAGGUUCUAUGGAUCGUAAACCUCUUUUAUAAGGGAAUAAAGUGCGGGACGUGUCCCGUUUUGUAUGUACCUUAUGAAUAAGGAUCGGCUAACUCCGUGCCAGCAGCCGCGGUAAUACGGAGGAUCCGAGCGUUAUCCGGAUUUAUUGGGUUUAAAGGGUGCGUAGGCGGCCUUUUAAGGCAGCGGUGAAAGUCUGUGGCUCAACCAUAGAAGUGCCGUUGAAACUGGGAGGCUUGAGUAUGUUUGAGGCAGGCGGAAUGCGUGGUGUAGCGGUGAAAUGCUUAGAUAUCACGCAGAACCCCGAUUGCGAAGGCAGCCUGCCAGGGCAUGACUGACGCUGAUGCACGAAAGCGUGGGUAUCAAACAGGAUUAGAUACCCGAGUAGUC